GAAAAUUAUUGCUGUGCUGGCUGGAAUAAAUUAUGCAAAGCAAUGCGUUAUCUGGGAGCCUGCAACGCGCAGGCACACGCACACUUCGGUGAUCUAUCGCUCUCCAUGCAGAUGUUCUGCUGCAAAGACACUUUAAUUAAUACAUUGAAAAUACGUUUCCUGCCUUGUCUGAGCCGGAGAUGAGCAGGGAAAUGACGCUGAGUGGGGUAAAGCCCCCACUGCAAAAGAAAUGAGGAAGGGAAACGCAGUGAUUUAAACCCAGUCAGAACUAAGAGGUGUCUGAGCUGGGGCCCGGUCGUGCAUUGAGCUGGUGUUGGCAGGAGAGUGAGUGGCAAGAACUGGAGAUGCUCUCCUGGAGGCACUAUGGGGCUAUAGCUGUAGCACAACCCCUCAACCCUUACUAUUCUUUCUGCUGAGAACAUUCCUUCACCCACUCUUCAUCCCUGGCAUCCCCACUGCCUUCCUGUGCAUCCAGGAAGGACCCAGGUUAAUCCUCAGUGAGUCACUGUUCAAAGCACAAACCAAACCUAACGCUUGAAAACUUGGCUCUUCCAGAAGGGCCACUGAAAUGAAAAAGCUCAGUCAAGACACCAACCACACCAGCAACAUUUGGAUAUAAAUACCUUUCCAGCCAGAGAAAUAACCUGAGAAAGCAAUUUCCAUCCCUCAAUGCAAACUGAAAGGGUGGGACAUCUGGCUUAAUUAGGAAAAGGAUUUUUGCCUUUCAUGCUUUUCUCCUUUUCUAUCUUAUUUUUACUGACUCUCCUGUGUAACCUAUGAGACUCUCCUGUACAGACCAGUGAGGGAAUGCAGUGGCAGCAAUAAAUACAAAGGGGCAAUGGUGUCACAGCUGUCGUCAGUGCCUGCCCUGGUAGGUGCAGCCCACUGCUCCCAUGAGUUAUCCCUCCCCUGUGCCACUGCGGGCAUUACAGGUGGCCUCACCCACCACAUCACAAGAGGAAUCUGAAAUCAUCCCACCAGAAGAAGUUGCAGAUGAGAUCCCAGCAGCUGACAGUGGCAGCAGAAGAAAAUGAAGCAAAAACCUUUUCCAGGACACGAGACAGGUGAGGCAGCCAGGCUGUGAAACUGCCCAGGAAGCUCCACAGCAGGACCCUCAGCCCACUCCUGGAGCACCAGAAACCUUACAUGAAAAGAACAGCCUUACAGCAUUGCCACAUCCCAGAGGGAUGUCACUGUUAGCACUCACUGCAUGUGGAUCACCAAAGUUACUGUCUGUGUGUAUAACAAAAAGAAGGCUGGCAGGGAGGACACUGAAGUGCAAGGCACAAGAAAGAGAACGUCCCCAAUGGAUGGAGGAAGCCACAGUGCCCAUAAAGAGCCAUUCUGGAGCUCAGACAAUGCCCACAUCCUCAUGGCCCAAAGUCUUUUUAACUCUUCUCUCUGUCUGAGUGGCAGGCAAGAAGUAACCUCAGUGAUUGCAUUUCUUUGUGUGACCCCAUCUAAAACUUUCUGCAUCAGAUAAACAACUCCCAAGGGUCAAUUAACAUGUCUUGAGAUGAUUAGAGUCUGACACUGAUGAAACCCAGCAGUAAUUAGCAAAUUAAAAAAAAAAACAACUCUUUUGAUUAGUACUCAGCAUAAUUCCCUCCAAUUAUUCAAAGUUCAUGACUACAGGGGGUGGAAUAUCUCCAGGAAUAUUUAUUUAUAUCCCUAUUUUUUUCCAAUCAACUUUGUGAAUCUAGUUAAUCAUCAGCACUUGAACUUGUUAACUUGGAGAGUUUCAGAGCUGUCACUCUGUCUGAUUGCUGGAGACAGCCCAGGGAAGAGUUUGGGGAGCACAGAGAAUCCAAAUUCCUGUCUCAGUCAAAGAAAAGAAAAGAAAAAUAAACAAUA